CCUACGGGUGACAGCAGUGAGGAAUAUUGGUCAAUGGGCGAGAGCCUGAACCAGCAAAGCCGCGUGAGGGAUGAAGGUACUGUGGUUUGUAAACUUCUUUUGUAUGGGAAUAAAGAGUGGAACGUGUCCCUGUUUGUAUGUACCUUAUGAAUAAGCAUCGGCUAACUCCGUGCCAGCAGCCGCGGUAAUACGGAGGAUGCGAGCGUUAUCCGGAUUUAUUGGGUUUAAAGGGUGCGUAGGUGGUUAAUUAAGUCAGCGGUGAAAGUUUGGGGCUCAACCAUAGAAUGGCCGUUGAAACUGGUAGACUUGAGUAUAUUUGAGGUAGGCGGAAUGCGUGGUGUAGCGGUGAAAUGCAUAGAGAUCGCGCAGAACUCCGAUUGCGAAGGCAGCUUACU
rnacentral:rRNA from 1 species